rnacentral:lncRNA from 1 species
GCGAGAGCGGAUUUGGGAUUUGAAGAAAAAGAAAGACGAAGCUUCGUUCCAAAGUGUUCACUUCUUUUUCGCCAGGUUUCAUUCGAUUUCUUGUGGAUUGGAUGAUGGAAAAACCAGCAAGCCCCUCUUCUUUCAGUCGAGUUACUUCGUACCUCUUCUUUCAGAUUCCUAAAGGGCGCUGUGAACUGUAAUUGUGAAAAGGUUGGAAGAUCUGGCCAAAGAAGGUGAUAGCCCUGUAGAUUCGUUCCUAUGGUUCGAUCCUUCCCAGUAAAACGCG